UGUCAACAGGUAAAGCAGUGGUGACUCACAGUGACUUUUGCACUUUAGGUUGGCUCUGUCUGCAGAAUCCAAGAUGUCAUCAAGCCAGAAAGGGAGUAUCUGUCAACUUUCAAAGAAGUUUGAGCAAGAGGAAAUAAUACUUGGGGUGUUCCCUGAAUGAACAAGAAACCCCCAUUUGCCCAAUUUGGUACAGAUUCCUUAAGGUGAGAAAUUUCAAGGUACAAAACAACUUACCAAUGUUUCCUGCUCAUCAUUAUGUCUGUUACUACAGGAAAUGGCACGUUAUUGUUAAUUCGUUAACGUCAAGUCAGUACUCAUCUGUAACUUGUUAACAUUCAACAAUUAUCAUGUAGGAUCUUAGAUUAUUGUUAUUUGAACUCUGUAAGCUCAGGAAUAGUUGGUCUUAGACUGUGGUCCUAUUAAGGUGUCUACUCUUGGUAUGGUUUGGUUUUCGCGCUUUGGCCACUUAAGGCACUUGCAUAAAUAAAUUUAUAAAAUUGAAAUAGUGCUUUCCAAAGUCAAUUAUUCUAGAUUUUUCCAUAUUAAUAGUUAUACAACUCUUGAGAUUUAUUUGUCAAAAGUAUAGAUUCAUAAAAGAACACCAGGAGUUCAUUUUGGGGGACAAGCCACAUCAAGACCUCUCUCCUGAAGGUAAUCAUUAUUAUUCCAUAUAAUUCCCACAGUAAUAUGCCAUGUAAAAUCAUCUUGAUUAUUUUUGCCUUAGGGUUUCAAGAUAAAUUUAUAUUUUGUGGCUAUGGGGAGAGUUAACAUCCCAUCCAUCUGUCCCCCCACAGUAGCCUGCCCCCACGGUAGCCUGGUUUUUAACAGGCAUUAAUCCAAAUGCUUAAAUUUGUGGAUAAAACUGAUUUGCAGAAACAGUGAUGGCAUCAAAAAUGAUGGUUGAACCACAUAAAGUCGACCUUCUUAACUCUGCCUAGGUAGGUUAUCAGCAAAUUCAUCUUGCCAAAGAGAUUAAAUCUGAUUGACACGUCUUAAACUAGGAUGGUGUUGGUGGGUGGCAAACUGACAUCGAGGGAGAACAUAAAAGUGUCAUAUUAGUGCUGUGAAGAUAAUUAAUUGGGAGGUCAUUAUGCUAAGACAGCUCCAGUGCCUUGGGCUCUUAUGGACGCAAACCCAAACCCAAAUCAAUAUAAACAGUAAAACAGAGCCCAAGCUUAGCCCUUCAGAAACUGCCAACUAACCUCUAAACAGAGAGUUUCCACAGGAUCACACCAAAUAAGGCAAAUAUCUAGCCUUAGCCUUGCUUUUCUUUUCCUUCUGAGUUCAGUCUGUAAAGCCCUCUGCUCAUGCUGCUAACCCAGGGCUCUUUGAACCUUGCUCUUCCAGUUUUGAGUGGUGCCCAAUUCAUGAAUCCUUGAAUGAACAAGUAAACACUGUUGAAUUGACUUUGCAUAAAGUUAUUCUUUUAACAGUGCUAAAAUUUUUUCACCCUCAAGUGAGGAUGAUGGGAAAUCACUUGGGGGUUGAGGAACUUUGUCAGAUCUUGAGGAUGAUGAGAUAUUGAAAAUGAGAGAUUCUGGCUGAACUGACCUGAUAGGAUUCUUGCUAACACUGGGCUCUUGAGGAUAUGCCCAAGGACAGGAUGGAAUUGAAAAAUAAAGCUUAGCAGUGCCAGACUUGAUCAAGGAGAGAGCCUUCCUCAUUAGUUCAUUCAAAAGUUCCAAUCUGCAUAUUAUAUUCAUGAAGAAUGUGGGCUUUUUUUUUUUCCUUCAAAAACCAAAUAAAUAUAUAAAGAACCAUAAGUGAUUUUAUUCUUUUAAAAAUCAGUACUGGAAUUUUCCUUGUUUUGAUAAAUGAAACACAUAUUACUCUCACAAUAAGCAGAUGUUCAGAAAAAUCUUCAACAGCAAAAUAAAUUUAAGUACAGCAAUAACCACCCAAGAAAAGCUUUAAUUCAGUCUUCAAUUUUUCUCAAAUAGUUUCUCCUGCUUUCUAAACAAAAUUCUAGACAUUAGGAGAGUUUCUGAAUCAUCCUUAAAACUCCCCCUUAACUCUCCUUAAAGUCUUGUCUGGAAUAUGAACUCACACUCGAUUCAUGAGGCUCAGCCUGUCCUGCACAUCAGUAAAAGAGAUGGUCCCCUGUGAACACAUCAGGCUCUCUCUAUCCUAUGCUAUUUAUUUAUUUAUCUAUUAUUUAUUUAUUUAUUGGUACUGGGAAUGAAACCCAGGACUUUGGGCAUGCUAGGCAAGUGUUCUACCACUGAGCUUCAUCCCCAAACCACCAUCCCAUACUUUUUUUUUUUUCUGAAAAAGAAAAUACUUAUUUUGUUUUUUGAGUCUUACAUCCCUGUCAACUUUCUUAUGCUAUCUCAACUUUCAAAAUUUUUUCACAUCAAUGUUCAAAUAUUGUAAUACCUUAACCUGGUAACCUGCUUGCUAUUUUUGUAAUGUAAAUGAUGCUAGUAGUAAAGUGAAAAGCUGACACCCUCUUGCAGGACAGAUCAAGUCAGGUGAUUAUUUUUUAUAUUCAUUUACACAA
rnacentral:lncRNA from 1 species